AUGGACAUUACCCAAAGCUAUUCCAUGACAGCCCCACUUUGGAAAAAGAAAAUGUAGAAUAUAUCUCUUUGGGAAAGGCUGCUUAUGUGAUCACCUAUCCUCCUUGACUACUCGGGUGUGUUCUUUCCUCUCUCUUCUCUCUCUUAUUUUAUAUUUGUUUCUUUCAUUGAGGACAAUGCAUAUUUUAAGUGUGGGGGAGGGAAUACUCUAUUUUCUUUGUUUUUGUUCUUUGUUUUGUUUUAUUUUUGUUUUCUUUCAAAAAAAUGCAUUUUUGUUGAAAGUUUUAGGCUAUAGAAUAAUUUGAGGUUGGUUUGCGGAGACUUGGGAAAAAUUCACA
rnacentral:lncRNA from 1 species